UACGUAGGUGGCAAGCGUUGUCCGGAUUUACUGGGCGUAAAGAGCGCGCAGGCGGUCGUUCAAGUCGCGUGUGAAAGCCCCCGGCUCAACUGGGGAGGGUCACGCGAUACUGAUCGACUCGAAGGCAGGAGAGGGUAGUGGAAUUCCAGGUGUAGCGGUGAAAUGCGUAGAUAUCAAGAGGAACACCUGCGGCGAAGGCGGGUUGCUGGGCCGACACUGACGCUGAAGCGCGAAAGCCAGGGGAGCGAACGGG
rnacentral:rRNA from 1 species